rnacentral:rRNA from 1 species
AGUGAACGCUGGCGGUAGGCCUAACACAUGCAAGUCGAACGGCAGCACAGUAAGAGCUUGCUCUUACGGGUGGCGAGUGGCGGACGGGUGAGGAAUACAUCGGAAUCUACUUUUUCGUGGGGGAUAACGUAGGGAAACUUACGCUAAUACCGCAUACGACCUACGGGUGAAAGCAGGGGAUCUUCGGACCUUGCGCGAUUGAAUGAGCCGAUGUCGGAUUAGCUAGUUGGCGGGGUAAAGGCCCACCAAGGCGACGAUCCGUAGCUGGUCUGAGAGGAUGAUCAGCCGCACUGGAACUGAGACACGGUCCAGACUCCUACGGGAGGCAGCAGUGGGGAAUAUUGGACAAUGGGCGCAAGCCUGAUCCAGCCAUACCGCGUGGGUGAAGAAGGCCUUCGGGUUGUAAAGCCCUUUGUUGGGAAAGAAAAGCAGCAGGUUAAUACCCCGCUGUUCUGACGGUACCCAAAGAAUAAGCACCGGCUAACUUCGUG